rnacentral:lncRNA from 1 species
CCAACCCUUGUUGGAGGCCAGCUCGGCGGCGAAGGCCUGGUGCUUCUGCCACUUGGUGUGCAGGUUGCGGGCUUCGUCGUAGGACACGUCCUGGGCCGUCAGCAUCUUCUCGUCGAUCCAGAGCGUGAGCUGCCAGGGGAGGAGCGGGGUCGGGACCGUGACACCGCGCCCCGCUCAUCCUGUCCCGCCCCAUCCCGUGCUCACCUCCUGCCCGUCCUGCAGGAACCGCUGCAGCUCCCAGUUGUCCCGCAGCCGCCCCAGCAGCUCCUGGGCCGCCUCCCGGUUCCUCUUGUGCCUGCAGCAGGGCCGGGGUGAGGACCGGGGGGCGCCCAGCACCCAGCGCCGGGCCGCGGGGUCCCUCACCUGCUCUCCACCGAGUCCACCGUCUCCUGCACCUUGUCGGCGUGCAGGCUGCCCUCGGCCACCAGCUUGCGGCCGGCGGCCACCAGCCCCUGCACGCGCUCGCCGCUGGCCUCCAUGGUGGCCAUGAAGUCCUCGUGCUUCUUGACGGAGGCCUCAGCGCCCUGCAGCGUGCUGGGCAUCUCGCUGUGCGACAGGGCGUACUCCUGCGCACAACGCGGGGCGUCACCGCCGUGCCCCGGUGCCGCCGCCGCCGCUGCCGCCUCCCCGGCUGCUCACCUGGGUGCUGAGGACGCCCUCGACCUGCUUGGAGUCGCGGAGGAAGAGCUGGAAGGCGAAGGCUUGGGAGAGGAGGUGGUGGCGGUUCUCCCACAUCCGCCCCAGCUCCUCCCAGCCCGUGUCCAGGGCCUCCAGGCGCUGGUGCAGGAAGACGUGCUGCGCGUCCGUCUGCCCCCGCGUCACCUCCCGGCCCACCGCCCGCGUGCUGCGGUAGUCGUCGCCGUAGUGGGCGAUCUCCUUGCGGAUGCUCUCGUGCUGGCUCAGCAGCCGCUCGGCCUCGGCCAGGGUGGCCGGCACGUCCUCGGAGGCCACGGCCGUCUGGGUGCGGGACAGCCAGGCCUGGAAGGCGGCCAGGUCCCGCAGGAAGCCCUGCAGCUUGCUGGCCUCCCCCAGCGACUCCUCGCGCCGCCGCAGGCAGCGGCACAGCUCGUCCCACACCGCCUCGAUGGCCGCCAGCCGCUCCAGGAUGGCGGGCGCUUGCUCCGGGUGCUCGGCCGCCAGCUUCUCCGCCUCGGCCCGCAGGUCCCGCACCUUGCCCUCGAUGGCCUCCAGGUCGCGCUCCAUGCCCGAGAGCUUGCGCUGCAGGGCCAUCACGCCGGCCAGGUGGUAGUUCUGGAUGUUCAGCGCCGAGGUCAGCGCCUCCUUCUUCUGGUCGGCCAGCGCGCGGAACCGCUCCCACCUGCGCGGCAGCGGGGUCAGGGGAUGGCCGAGCCCUCCUGCAGCCCCCACAGCGUCCCGGGCCGCCCCCCCCCGGCCGCCCCCACCUGGCGUUGAGCUGCUCGCGGGUGGCCCGGAUGCUCUCCUGGUUGCGCUGGUCGGUGGCCAGCAGCUGGUCGGCGAUGCGGUUGACGGCGGCGACGCGGGACGCCAGGUUGUUCAUCUCCGGCUCCAGCGUCUCGAACCUGCGGGCGGCGACGGACGAGGUGAGGACCCGGGCGGCCUCCGGGGGCGGGCAGGGGGGAGGCCCCGGCGGGGCGGAGGCCGCGCUCACCGUUGCUGCACCACCUCCAGGUCCUCCAGCUUGUCGGGGACGAGCAGGGCGUGCAGCCACUGCUCCUUCUCGCCCACCCAGAGCCCGCAGGCGUCCGCCUCGCUGCGCAUGGUGUAGAGGCUGAGGGCGUCCUGCAGCUCCUGCCGCCGGCGCUCCGUCUGCGCCGCCAGCUCCUGGUAGCGCCGCUCCAGCGCCGGCAGCCGCCCGGCCACACCGGGAGCGCCGGCGAAGGCGGGCGGCAGGGCUCCGGCUUGCUCGUGGAGGGCGGCGAUGGCGGGGCGGUGGCUGCGCACCUCCUCCUGCACCUCGCGGUGCUGCCGGGCCAGGCUGCGCGUGGAGUACUCGUCGUGGCCCAGCUCGGGGCUGGAGGCCAGGCGCAGGGCGUCCUCCAGCCAGGCCUCCACGUCGGCCGCCUCCGCCUGGAACUGGAAGAGGCCGGCGGCGUCCCGCAGGCGCCGCUCGCGCUCGUCCGCCAGCUCGCCCAGCGCCCGCCAGCGCCCCUCCACCUCCCGCACGCGCUCG